GCUGUUAGGUUUUCCUGCAGCCUUUUGACACUAGUUCUAACUUCCUUUCAGAUGCAGACAGUUCAAAUCUGUGGCAGAGGGCACCAGUCCUGGAUGAAGAACUUCCAAUGAGCAGGUCGGUCAUUGUUUGCAUUUGCAGGGGAAGCGUAAAUGGGUGACUGUGUUACAGCGGUGUUCUUUGCCUUUAUUUUUAGGAGGUCCAGACAGAUAGCAGCAGUCAAGGCCCAGGGUGCCAGGGUCCCACCCUGGUAGCCCAGAGGAAUGGACAAGGAAUUGCGACCAAGAGGUGACAGCUGGAACUUACCGGACAGGCAGACAGCCUUCUUCUGCAGCCAACAGGGAUUUGCAUCCCAGAUGCAUGCAAGAUAAGUGGAGGGUUAUGACCCACAGAGAGUUUGGAGGUGGGGUGCCAGGUUGGGACUUUCUAGAAGAGGUUUUUGUGUCUGUUUUAGAGAUGGGGAUGUCCAAGAAGCAUCCCC